AGUGGAUGGGGAGCAACCUAGUUGUGCGUGUGUAAAGGUAGUGCCAAGAAAAGCGGUGAUCAUGAUGAAAAUCAAUUCCCGGUACCCGAAACCGACACAGGUGGGCAAGUAGAGAAUACUAAGGGGCGCGAGGUAACUCUCUCCAAGGAACUCGGCAAAAUGACCCCGUAACUUAGGGAGAAGGGGUGCCACCGAGAGGUGGUCGCAGUGAAGAGGCCCAGGCGACUGUUUAGCAAAAACAUAGGUCUCUGCAAACUCGAAAGAGGAGGUAUAGGGGCUGACGCCUGCCCAGUGCCGGAAGGUUAAAGAAGUUGGUCAGUCUUAGGAUGAAGCUAGCGACUGAAGCCCCGGUGAACGGCGGCCGUAACUAUAACGGUCCUAAGGUAGCGAAAUUCCUUGUCGGGUAAGUUCCGACCCGCACGAAAGGCGUAACGAUCUGGCGCUGUCUCGGAGAGAGGCUCGGCGAAAUAGGAUUGUCUGUGAAGAUACGGACUACCUGCAUUUGGACAGAAAGACCCUAUGAAGCUUUACUAUAGCUUGGAAUUGUGUUCGGGCUUCCUGUGCGCAGGAUAGGUGGGAGGCGUAGAAGGUAUUCUUGUGGGGAUACUGGAGCCAACGGUGAGAUACCACUCUCAGGAGGCUAGAAUUCUAACUUAAUUAAGGACAGUUUCAGGUGGGUAGUUUGACUGGGGCGGUCGCCUCCAAAAAGGUAACGGAGGCGUACAAAGGUUCCCUCAGACUGGUUGGAAAUCAGUCGAAGAGUGCAAAGGCAGAAGGGAGCUUGACUGCGAGAAGUACAGUUCGAGCAGGGUGGAAACACGGUCUUAGUGAUCCGACGGUGCUGUGUGGAAGGGCCGUCGCUCAACGGAUAAAAGUUACUCUAGGAUAACAGGCUGAUCUCCCCCAAGAGCUCACAUCGACGGGGAGGUUUGGCACCUCGAUGUCGGCUCAUCGCAACCUGGGGCGGAAGUACGUCCCAAGGGUUGGGCUGUUCGCCCAUUAAAGCGGUACGUGAGCUGGGUUCAGAACGUCGUGAGACAGUUCGGUCCAUAUCCGAUGUAGGCGUGAGAAUAUUGAGAGGAGCCUUCCUUAGUACGAGAGGACCGGGAAGGACGCACCGCUGGUGUACCUGUUAUGAUGCCAAUUGUAAACGCAGGGUAGCCAAGUGCGGAGAGGAUAACCGCUGAAAGCAUCUAAGUGGGAAGCCCACCUCAAGAUGAGUAUUCUGGUGUAAGGUCACGGGAAGACGACCCGUAAAUAGGCACGAGGUGGAAGUGCAGAGAUGUAUGAAGCCGAAGUGUACUAAUAGACCGUCGGCUUGACC
rnacentral:rRNA from 1 species